rnacentral:rRNA from 1 species
UGUGAGGCUGAUGUGUAGGCAAAUCCGCACAUCAUUAAGGCUGGGCUGUGAUGGGGAGCGAAAAUUGCAGUAGCGAAGGUCAUGAGUUCAGGCUGCCAAGAAAAGCCUCUAGCCAGGUGAAGGUGCCCGUACCGCAAACCGACACAGGUAGGCGAGCAGAGUAUGCUAAGGCGCUCGGAAGAACUCUCGUUAAGGAACUCGGCAAAAUGACCCCGUAACUUUGGGAGAAGGGGUGCCUCGGUAGGGUGAAUAGCCCGAGGGGGCUGCAGUGAAAAGGCCCAAGCGACUGUUUAGCAAAAACACAGGUCUGUGCGAAGCCGUAAGGCGAAGUAUACGGGCUGACGCCUGCCCGGUGCUGGAAGGUUAAGGGGAGUGGUUAGCCGCAAGGCGAAGCUAUGAACCGAAGCCCCAGUAAACGGCGGCCGUAACAAUAACGGUCCUAAGGUAGCGAAAUUCCUUGUCAGGUAAAUUCUGACCCGCACGAAUGGCGUAACGACUUGGGCGCUGUCUCAACGAGAGAUCCGGUGAAAUUUUAAUACCUGUGAAGAUGCAGGUUACCCGCGACAAGACGGAAAGACCCCAUGGAGCUUUACUGCAGCUUGAUAUUGGACUUUGGUACGAUCUGUACAGGAUAGGUGGGAGCCUUGGAAACCGGAGCGCCAGCUUCGGUGGAGGCAUCGUUGGGAUACCACCCUGAUCGUAUCGGAGUUCUAACCUGGUACCGUGAUCCGGUACAGGGACCGUGUCAGGUGGGCAGUUUGACUGGGGCGGUCGCCUCCUAAAAUGUAACGGAGGCGCCCAAAGGUUCACUCAGAAUGGUUGGAAAUCAUUCGUAGCGUGCAAAGGCAUAAGGGAGCUUGACUGCGAGACCUACAAGUCGAGCAGGGACGAAAGUCGGGCUUAGUGAUCCGGUGGUACCGCAUGGAAGGGCCAUCGCUCAACGGAUAAAAGCUACCCUGGGGAUAACAGGCUUAUCUCCCCCAAAAGUCCACAUCGACGGGGAGGUUUGGCACCUCGAUGACGGCUCAUCGCAUCCUGGGGCUGAAGUAGGUCCCAAGGGUUGGGCUGUUCGCCCAUUAAAGCGGUACGCGAGCUGGGUUCAGAACGUCGUGAGACAGUUCGGUCCCUAUCUGUCGUGGGCGUAGGAAAUUUGAGAGGAGCUGUCCUUAGUACGAGAGGACCGGGAUGGACGCACCGCUGGUGUACCAGUUGUUCCGCCAGGAGCAUAGCUGGGUAGCUACGUGCGGACGGGAUAAGCGCUGAAAGCAUCUAAGCGUGAAGCCCCCCUCAAGAUGAGAUUUCCCAGUAUGUAAGACCCCUGGAAGACGACCAGGUUGAUAGGUUCGAGGUGGAAGCGCAGCAAUGCGUGGAGCCGACGAAUACUAAUCGGUCGAGGGCUUAUCCGG